ACUAAAGCUAGCCCGACCCUAUCUAAAACUAACAAGCCCAUAAUCCUAAAUCAAAACAUUUACCAAAACAUUAAUAGUAUAGGAGAUAGAAAUUUUACUCGGCGCUAUAGAAAUAGUACCGUAAGGGAAAGAUGAAAGAAUACCUAAAAGUACAUAAAAGCAAAGCUCACACCUUGUACCUUUUGCAUAAUGACUUAACCAGAAUAACUUGACAAAAAGAAUUUUAGCCAAGAUCCCCGAAACCAGACGAGCUACUCAUGGACAGUUACAAAAGAACGCACUCGUCUAUGUAGCAAAAUAGUGAGAAGAUCUAUGAGUAGAGGUGAGAAGCCUACCGAGCCUGGUGAUAGCUGGUUGUCCGAGAGAGAAUUUUAGUUCAACUUUAAAUUAACCCAAAAUAAUCUUAAACCUCAUGUAAAUUUAAAUGUUACUCUAAAGAGGGACAGCUCUUUAGAACAGGCUACAACCUUUAGUAGAGAGUAAAAAAUUUAACCUCCAUAGUAGGCCUAAAAGCAGCCACCAAUUAAGAAAGCGUCAAAGCUCAACAUAAUAUUUACCUCAAUUCCAAACCUCCAAUCCACCUCCUACUAAUCAACCGGACCAAUCUAUAGCCCAAUAGAAGCAACACUGUUAAUAUAAGUAACAAGAAUUCUAUUCUCCCCGCAUAAGCCUAUACCAGACCGAAUACCCGCUGGUAGUUAACAACAAGAUAAGAUCAAGCACCCUAAAUUAUACUAUCUCAACAACUGUUAAUCCAACACAGGCAUGCAUUAAGGAAAGAUUAAAAGGAGUAGAAGGAACUAGGCAAACUGAACCCCGCCUGUUUACCAAAAACAUCACCUCUAGCAUCACCAGUAUUAGAGGCACUGCCUGCCCAGUGACAUAUGUUAAACGGCCGCGGUAUCCUGACCGUGCAAAGGUAGCAUAAUCAUUUGUUCUUUAAUUAAGGACUAGAAUGAAAGGCCACACGAGGGUCCAACUGUCUCCUACUCUCAAUCAGUGAAAUUGACCUUCCCGUGAAGAGGCGGGAAUAUAAUAAUAAGACGAGAAGACCCUAUGGAGCUUAAAUUAAUUAACCCAUAAAGUACAAAAUAUAACAAUUAACCCUGAGCACUUACCUGGGUUAUAAAUUUUGGUUGGGGUGACCUCGGAGCACAAUAAAACCUCCGAAUAACUUAAGCCCAGACGCCACCAGUCAAAGCAUAAAUACAUUAUAAACUGACCCAAACUAUUUUGAUCAAUGAAACAAGUUACCCUAGGGAUAACAGCGCAAUCCUAUUACAGAGUCCAUAUCAACAAUAGGGUUUACGACCUCGAUGUUGGAUCAGGACAUCCCAAUGGUGUAACCGCUAUUAAUGGUCCGUUUGUUCAACGGUUAAAGUCCUACGUGAUCUGAGUUCAGACCGGAAUAAUCCAGGUCGGUUUCUAUCUAUUUGAUAUUUCUCCCAGUACGAAAGGACAAGAGAAAUAGAGCCAACUUAACAAAGUGCUCUCAACCCAAUAGAUGCUAUAAACUUAAUCUAAUAUAUUACCCCACACCCUGCCCAAGAUCAGGGCUA
rnacentral:rRNA from 1 species